CCAUAGUGUGNUCUGGAAACUGUCUGACUUGAGUGCAGAAGGGGAGAGUGGAAUNCCAUGUGUAGCGGUGAAAUGCGUAGAUAUAUGGAGGAACACCAGUGGCGAAAGCGGCUNUCUGGUCUGUCACUGACGCUGAGGCUCGAAAGCGUGGGUAGCGAACAGGAUUAGAUACCCUGGUAGUCCACGCCGUAAACGAUGAGUGCUAGGUGUUAGGCCCUUUCCGGGGCUUAGUGCCGGAGCUAACGCAAUAAGCACUCCGCCUGGGGAGUACGACCGCAAGGUUGAAACUCAAAGGAAUUGACGGGGGCCCGCACAAGCGGUGGAGCAUGUGGUUUAAUUCGAAGCAACGCGAAGAACCUUACCAGGUCUUGACAUCCCGAUGCUAUUCUUAGAGAUAGGAAGUUACUUCGGUACAUCGGAGACAGGUGGUGCAUGGUUGUCGUCAGCUCGUGUCGUGAGAUGUUGGGUUAAGUCCCGCAACGAGCGCAACCCUUAUUGUUAGUUGCCAUCAUUAAGUUGGGCACUCUAGCGAGACUGCCGGUAAUAAACCGGAGGAAGGUGGGGAUGACGUCAAAUCAUCAUGCCCCUUAUGACCUGGGCUACACACGUGCUACAAUGGUCGGUACAACGAGUUGCGAGCCGGUGACGGCAAGCUAAUCUCUGAAAGCCGAUCUCAGUUCGGAUUGGAGGCUGCAACUCGCCUCCAUGAAGUCGGAAUCGCUAGUAAUCGCGGAUCAGCACGCCGCGGUGAAUACGUUCCCGGGCCUUGUACACACCGCCCGUCACACCACGAGAGUUUGUAACACC
rnacentral:rRNA from 1 species